rnacentral:rRNA from 1 species
GCGUUAGGUGCCCUUCGGGGAAAGUCGGAGACAGGUGGUGCAUGGUUGUCGUCAGCUCGUGUCGUGAGAUGUUGGGUUAAGUCCCGCAACGAGCGCAACCCUUAUUGUUAGUUGCUACGCAAGAGCAUCUAGCGAGACUGCCGUUGACAAAACGGAGGAAGGCGGGGACGACGUCAAAUCAUCAUGCCCCUUAUGUUCUGGGCUACACACGUAAUACAAUGGCGGUCAACAGAGGGAAGCGAAGGAGCGAUCUGGAGCAAAUCCCCAAAAGCCGUCUCAGUUCGGAUUGCAGGCUGAAACUCGCCUGCAUGAAGUCGGAAUUGCUAGUAAUCGCGGAUCAGCACGCCGCGGUGAAUACGUUCCCGGGCCUU